UAUAGUUUUAUAUUACGGAUUACAAAUGUGUCGAGGUUUCUGAUUGGAUAACAACACCGAGAUGUCAGUAUAUAUUCAGGAAACUGCCGGGGUAUAUACGACGUUUUUAUCCCCAAUUGGAACCUCAAAAACGUCAUCAUAACACCGGUUACUAUGUGACGUAGUCAUAAGCUAUCAGACUGUCAGAGGUUCACAGAGGGAAAAUAAUGACGUGCUUCAGUCAAUAAUACAUUUUUGAUACAAAAUCACGCAAUUAACACUUUUAAUACUUUAAUUUGAUGUUAAAAGUGUUAUUAUAAAUUAUUACGUACACGAUAAAAUUAUGUUCACAGCAAAUUAGAAAAUCCUUCACAUAUGCCGAACAUAUCAGGUUGGGUUUUUCAAUAUAUAUGUGUUGUCAACAAAUACCUGCACUGGAAAAUAACAUUAAGUCAGGGGUAAUCCGUAAUAUAUGUGUAAUUCAGGUCUCAGAAAGGGUAUAUACUGUGACAUUCCCGGCUGAGGGCUUAUAUCCCCUUCGCCUUCGGCUCAGGGGAUAUAAACUCUAAGCCGGGAAUGUCACAGUAUAUACCCUGUCUGAGACCUGAAUAACAUAU
rnacentral:lncRNA from 1 species